UACGUAGGGGGCUAGCGUUGUCCGGAAUCAUUGGGCGUAAAGCGCGCGUAGGCGGCCCAGUAAGUCCGUUGUAAAAGUCAAAGGCUCAACCUUUGAAAGCCGAUGGAUACUGCUGGGCUAGAGUCCGGAAGAGGCGAGUGGAAUUCCCGGUGUAGCGGUGAAAUGCGUAGAUAUCGUAAGGAAGACCAGUGGCGAAGGCGGGUCUCUGGACAGUUCCUGACGCUGAGGCACGAAGGCCAGGGGAGCAAACGGG
rnacentral:rRNA from 1 species